AUGGCGGCCAUCAUGGCCACCCCGGCCAGCAAUGCGGCCAGCUGCAGCAGGGACUGCAUGGGGACGUCCCCACGGCCCAUUGGGGUCCUCCUUGUCCUAUUGGGGUCCUCCUUGUCCUAUUGGGGUCUCCAUGUCCCAUUGGGGUCUCCACGUCCCAUUGGGGUCUCCAUGUCCUAUUGGGGUCUCCAUGUCCUAUUGGGUCCCCAUGGUGUCCCAGUGUCCCAUUGGGUUCCCCAUGUCCCAUUGGGGUCUCCAUGUCCCAUUGGGUCCCCAUUGGGGUCCUCCAUGUCUCAUUGGGGUCUCCAUGUCCCAUUGGGGUCCUCCAUGUCCCAUUGGGGUCCCAUGAUGUCCCAGUGUCCCAUUGGGUUCCCCAUGGCCCCAUUGGGUCCCCAUUGGGGUCUCCAUGUCCCCAUUGGGUCCCCAUUGGAGUCCUCCAUGUCCCCAUACGUCCCAUUGGGCCCCAUUGAUGUCUCCACGUCUCCAAUCACUCUUUUAUUGAACACCACCUACAAAAAGCCCCCCAUAACCCCCCUGAAACCCCCCCAAAACCCCCAUAACCCCCCCCAAACCCCAUUAGGACCCCCCAACCCCAUUAGGACCCCCCCCCAGCCCCCCCAGCUCACUCCCACUGAGCGAUGGCGGCCAUCAUGGCCACCCCGGCCAGCAACGCGGCCAGCUGCAGCAGGGACUGCAUGGGGACGUCCCCACGGCCCAUUGGGGUCCUCCACGUCCCAUUGGGGUCCUCCAUGUCCCAUUGGGGUCCUCUAUGUUCUAUUGGGGUCCUCCAUGUCCCAUUGGGGUCUCCACGUUCCAUUGGGGUCCUCCAUGUCCCAUUGGGGUCCUCCACGUCCCAUUGGGGUCCCAUGGUGUCCCCAUGUCCCAUUGGGUGCCCCACGGCCCAUUGGGGUCCUCCAUGUCCCAUUGGGGCCCUCCAUGUCCCAUUGGGUCCCCAUGGUGUCCCAGUGUCCCAUUGGGUUCCCCAUGGCCCCAUUGGGUCCCCAUUGGAGUCCUCCAUGUCCCCAUACGUCCCAUUGGUCCCCAUUGAUGUCUCCACGUCUCCAAUCACUCUUUUAUUGAACACCACCUACAAAAAGCCCCCCAUAACCCCCCUGAAACCCCCCAAAACCCCCCAUACCCCCCCCAAACCCUAUUAGGACCCCCCCCAACCCCCCCAGCUCACUCCCACUGAGCGAUGGCGGCCAUCAUGGCCACCCCGGCCAGCAAUGCGGCCAGCUGCAGCAGGGACUGCAUGGGGACGUCCUCUCGGAGCAGUUGGGGGAGCACCGCCACCGUCCCCACGUAGAUGAACCCCCCCGCGGUGAAGGGGAGGAUCCAAAGGGUGGCGGCCGCCCCCACCCCUUCGGCCAAUAGGGAACAGCCCGCGCCCCCCACGGCCCCCAGAGCCGUCAGCAGCUGCAGCCGCAUCGCCUGUUGGAUUGGGGGGGGGGGAGGGUAAUUAAAAGGGGGGGGUAAUUAAGUGGGGAGGGGGGUAAUUAAGCGGCGGUGGGGUAAUUAAGCAGGGGUAGGGAGGGAGAGGGGGUAGGGAGGGUAAGAAGGAGGGGAGGAUGGGGAGAAGGGGCAAUAUGGAGGACCCCGACCCAACCAUGUGUCCCCUGACCUUUGACCCUGAGCCAACCCUGUGACCCCUGACCCUUGAGCCUGACCCAACCACGUGACCUUUGACCCUUGACCCCGAUCAUGUUACCCUUAACCCCAACCCGACCACGUGACUCCUGACCCUUGACCCAACCCAAGCACAUGACCUCUGACCCCCUAACCCGUGACCUUUGACCCCUAACUCCAACCCAACCCUGUGACCCCUGACCCUAACCACAUGACCUUAGACCCUUUACCCCAACCACGUGACCCUUAACCCCAGCCCAACCCUGUGACCCCUGACCCUUGACCCAACCAUGUGACCUUUGACCCUUGACUCCAACCACGUAACUCCUGACCCUUGACCCCAACCCAACCCCAUAACUCCAACCCAACCACAUAACCCUUGACCCCAAAGAUGACCCUUGACCCCAACUCCAUAACCCUUGACCCCAAAGAUGGCCCUUAACCCCAACCCAACCUCACGAACCCUGACCCUUGACCCCAACACAACCCCAUGACCCCCGACUCUUGAUUGCAACCCAACUCCAUGCCUCUAUGUCCCCGUUGCCUUUGCUUCUAACAUGUACCAGCU
rnacentral:lncRNA from 7 species